rnacentral:rRNA from 1 species
CCUGCCCACUGAAAUAUUUUAAAUGGCCGCAGUAAUUUGACUGUGCAAAGGUAGCAUAAUCAUUAGUUUUUUAAUUAAAAGCUUGAAUGAAGGGUUGGACGAAAUAAAAUCUGUCUUUAUUUAAAUAAUAUUAGAAUUUAAUUUUUAAGUUAAAAAGCUUAAAUUUAUAUAAAAGACGAGAAGACCCUAUAGAUCUUUAUAUUAUUAUAAUAUGAUUUUAAUUAAGAUUAUUUAAUUUUUUAUUUUAUAUAAUAUUUUAUUGGGGUAAUAAAAAGAUUUAAUUAAUUCUUUUAAUAUUUUACAUUAAUUAUUGAAUUUAUGAUCCAUAGUUUUUGAUUAUAAGAUUAAGUUACCUUAGGGAUAACAGCGUAAUUUUUUUAGAGAGUUCAUAUCGAUAAAAAAGUUUGCGACCUCGAUGUUGGAUUAAAAAUUAUUUUAGGCGUAGAAGUUUAAAAAUUUGGUCUGUUCGACCAUUAAAUUUUUACAUGAUCUGAGUUCAGACCGGUGUAAGCCAGGUCGGUUUCUAUCUUUAUAUAUUUAUAAUAUUUUAGUACGAAAGGACCAAAUAUUUAAUAUAUUAAUAUUUUUGAUUUUGAAUAUUAUU